rnacentral:lncRNA from 1 species
GUAUUGCUGGAUCCUCUGGUAGUACUAUGUCCAAUUUUCUGAGGAACUACUAGACUGAUUUCCAGAGUGGUUGUACAAGCUUGCAAUCCUACCAACAAUGGAGGAGUGUUCCUCUUUAUCCUUACACCUGAUGGGUUCAGUAGCAUCAGCUUGUACUCUUUGGCCCAACCAAAAGAUAAGGGUGGGGAAGACGGUAGGGAUGUUCUCAUGUGUGGUGCAACUGCUAGUGGAGUGAUUCUUUGAUUUUGAUAGGGUUCAAUUACCCCACAACUUUUGCCUCCCCACUGGCCAAACCUAGCUACUGAACAGACUCUGAGUUGAAAGAACAAUCCACACCUCCCUCUUCUUUCUUGCAGGGAGAGGGUUGCACAAUCCUCAAGGGGAUUAUGUCCCACUUGAAGACAAGUACAAGCUUUGUCACCUGUGCUGUUGUAGUCAUUUGUCCUCCAGUCUUCUUGAUCAGGCUCUCAAGGUUUCUGGAAGCUUGCUAGGAUAUACUUUGGUUUUCUGUUAGACUCUUAUCCUAAGAAUUCUGCCAUGUCAUAAAUGCUGCCACAUUUCCUUCACUCACCAAGACUUGUAAUCUUGAUUUAUUUACAUGUGUGCUUACAUGGUGAUGUUCGAGAACCUCCCUAAACUCCUAAGAUCACUUCUCACAAGGUUCAGCAAAGCCUCCAAAACUGCUUACCAGUCCCUCCAGGUCCCCUACUAAUCAGCCUCUUAACUCUCCUGUGUAUAUCACUCUAUAAACCCAGUGAAUGAGUCAGCAAAUACUGCCUCUAUCAUGCCCAGUUCCUUCAGGAGUAUUUGUCUUUUCCGGUCUUCCAGUUAGCAGUGCUCAUGGGAACUUCAGCCAGAGAUAAGCAAGGGGCUAAUGGCUCGCCCAUAUGAACCAGCCUAUCAGGACUGCUUUUGUAUGUAGUGCCUUAGGUUAUGCAGCCUUUUUUUAAAUGAGUGAGUAAUUUCAUAUGUAUUUUCUUUUUCCAUGUCAUCCAGACUAAGUUCAAUAGUCUCAUGAGCCAGGCUUGGGGAUGGAUUCCUUCAUUUCCUACUUAACAGUUUACCCCAGUCACACAGUUCAGGUGAAGUGUAUCUGUGAGGAUUAUAGUUUACUCUACUGGGCCAUGGUUAAGACUUCCAUCUGGAUGCAGAAUUGUGGAUGUUCCCCUUCCUCUGUAUGAACAUUGGGCCAGAAGAAUGUUUUCUAUCACUUCAUCAUCUCCCUCUUCCUUAUCACUGAUUAUCUCCAGGAAUCUAAGUUUUUGAAUCCCAGAAAGGCCUCUUUGUUCUCAUCCUUACUCCCUGCCCCUUUCCUGCCAAGUUAAAGGUUAAUGUAGAAGAUAGUACCCACCUGGCUGUUUUUGUUUGCUUGCUUUUUGUCACUUAGACCAGUUCUUUCUGGGCAAACAGGUCAGCUUCAGUUGUCUUAGUGCUCACAACAGAGACCAUACAAUUGAUACUAUAUCUGGCUUAGGAGCAUUUCCAUACAUUCUGGUUUUAAAGGGUUAUGAUAUAUUCUCAGGUCAUCUGGAAUGUUUGGGGGCAUAAAACAUACCCCAUUCAUCAAGAAGCCUUGCCAUCCCAUACCAUAUAAAGGAAGACAACAACCCUGGUGUUCCUAGCUCAGAUUAUUCAGGCUUGCUUGCAUGUCUUACCAAACAUAGCAAAAAACAUGCAGCUAUCACUACCUGGAGACACCACACCAUCCCUUACAACAUGGGUAAAGGCAGCUAUAUCAGGAUUGCCCCUUCUGCCAUUCCACCCACAGACUGAUAGAUCAGCCAUUAGUUGUAUAUAUUAUCAUUCAUUGCAAUUUUUUCUAUCUGUUAUCUUUGGUUUUGAGUAGUGUUCAUACAUCAUAUAUUCUAUGUCACUUCCUGGUGAAACCCUAAUAUAAUGACAGGGAUACACCAAAGCAAAGAGUCCACUCAAAACCAGUUUAGCAGACCAAUGAGUUUGUUGGGGUUACUUUUAGAAGCAUGGAUAUGGAACUCCUUACAAGAGAAUGGAUGAGUGGUCUUUACAGAAACAUGGCUCAUUUGGGCAACUUGAUCAAUGAGAAGUCCACUCUGAUGUGGAUGUAAGAACUAUAUCCUUGAGACACCUUUCACAAGUUCAAUCACAUCUGUUUUAGCUUUCUUACCUUCCCCUAUACUUGGAUGAUGUGUUUAAUGUUAUCUGUUUAUUUCCCACGUCUGAGUGCUUGAAUAUAGACUAUGUUAAGUAAUGUGUCCUGUGCCAGAUAAAAGUUUCAGACUUCAAUCUAUUUUUCUUCGUGAGAAGUUUAUUCCAUUUCCUCAGCUUCAAUAGCACCUUUUGUAUAGUAGAGAUGGUAGCACAGUUAUAAGAGGCUUUGUGUAUAAUCUACUUUACUUACUAAAAGAUCUAUGAUUUCUCUGUGAUACGAUAGAUAUUCAAAGAUUUGGAAUAACUAUUAUUUUCCAAUUGUCCUUUUUUCCCUUCAGCUUUCCCC